UCUAAACCCUAUUUAUAUACCUAAUUAAACCUAUAUUUUUUUAUCAAAACGUAAACCUUACCUAUAAACCCUAUCUAAACCCUAAUUAACCCCUAAAUUUCUAAACCUUCGAUUCCCUCCAAAUCCCUCUAAACUUCUAAACCCAAAAUUAAUUCCCUCUAAAAUUCUAAACCCAAAUUCAAUUCCCUCUAAAAAUUUAAGCCCAAACCCAUUUUCUAUACUUAGACAAAAUAUCCCUAAUUUCC
rnacentral:lncRNA from 1 species